GACGAACGCUGGCGGCGUGCCUAAUACAUGCAAGUUGAGCGAUGAAGCUUGGUGCUUGCACCAAUUUGAAGAGCAGCGCACGGGUGAGUAACGCGUGGGGAAUCUGCCUUUGGGCGGGGGACAACAUUUGGAAACGAAUGCUAAUACCGCAUAACAACUUUAAACAUAAGUUUUAAGUUUGAAAGAUGCAAUUGCAUCACUCAAAGAUGAUCCCGCGUUGUAUUAGUUAGUUGGUGAGGUAAAGGCUCACCAAGGCGAUGAUACAUAGCCGACCUGAGAGGGUGAUCGGCCACAUUGGGACGGAGACACGGCCCAAACUCCUACGGGAGGCAGCAGUAGGGAAUCUUCGGCAAUGGACGAAAGUCUGACCGAGCAACGCCGCGUGAGUGAAGAAGGUUUUCGGAUCGGAAAACUCGGUUGGUAGAGAAGAACGUUGGUGAGAGUGGAAAGCUCAUCAAGUGACGGUAACUACCCAGAAAGGGACGGCUAACUACGUG
rnacentral:rRNA from 1 species